rnacentral:rRNA from 1 species
CAGCUCGUGGAANGUUAUGUUGGGUUAAAUCCCGCAACGAGCGCCCCCUUGUCCUUAGUUGCCANCACGUAAUGGNGGGAACUCUAAGGAGACCGCCGGUGACAAACCGGAGGAAGGNGGGGAUGACGUCAAGUCAUCNUGGCCCUUACGGCCAGGGCUACACACGUACUACAAUGGNAGGGACAGAGGGCUGCAAGCCGGCGACGGUAANCCAAUCCCANAAACCCUAUCUCAGNCCGGAUUGGAGUCUGCAACUCNACUCCNUGAAGUCNGAAUCNCUAGUAAUCGCA